UGGGGAAUAUUGCACAAUGGGGGAAACCCUGAUGCAGCGACGCCGCGUGAGCGAAGAAGGCCUUCGGGUCGUAAAGCUCUUUUAUGAGGGAAGAUAAUGACGGUACCUCAAGAAAAAGCCCCGGCUAACUACGUGCCAGCAGCCGCGGUAAUACGUAGGGGGCUAGCGUUGUCCGGAAUCACUGGGCGUAAAGGGUUCGCAGGCGGAAUAACAAGUCAGAUGUGAAAGGCAUGGGCUCAACCCAUGUAAGCAUUUGAAACUGUAAUUCUUGAGAAGUGGAGAGGUAAGUGGAAUUCCUAGUGUAGCGGUGAAAUGCGUAGAUAUUAGGAGGAAUACCUGUGGCAAAGGCGACUUACUGGACACAAAUCUGACGCUGAGGAACGAAAGCGUGGGUAGCAAACAGG
rnacentral:rRNA from 1 species